rnacentral:lncRNA from 1 species
UCACUUUGUCAAACCAUUUUUUUUGUGCAUGCAGUGGUUUUGCCACUAAUGGUAUUCUCCAGCUGAGACUUGUCACUCAACUGAUUAAUGACAAAUUGCUUCAAAUUUUUCCAUUGAAAUUAAUAUUAACUUUAGAUUUUAUACCAAUGGGUAGUCAAUGUAAUCUUGAAAUCUAGCUAUAACAUUAUUUUUCAAGGUGCAAUCCAAAUGAUUAACGUAAUGUUGAUUCCGCUUUCAAGGACAAAGAAAAUGCAUUCCUUUCAAUCAAUAAAAGCAGCGGAGACACACAAUUUAUGCUGUCUCAUUGUUUUUCUUUCCAAUUCCAGAUUAAUUUAUGUGACAUAUCUAUCUAAAAUCUCUGAAAAAUUAAAGUGGGACAAAAUGUCCAGACAAGCUGAAAGUAACUUAUUCCUCUAUUGCAUCAGACUGCCAGUCAAAGUGUCAUCCAUUUCUAAAUGUAAGAUCUAUUUUAGUCUCCCUUGCCCAAGUUGUGACAAGUCACUCCACCCCCACACAAACUUUGAAACUAGCACCACUUAAACAAUGUCAUGGAGGACCUGAUAGAUGCACAAAUACCAGCUAGUCUCAUUUCAGUAACUAACAAGCCAUUCAUUUCUUAAACAAUGAGGAUAAUCAACAGCCUAUGGGGAGGAAUCAUAUCACAGAAUGCCUGCCGUGCUAGCUUCAUUGUGACUAAUUAUGAAUGAGUCCCAUCUAAUGAAACCCAUCACAUGCCUUAUGCCCUUCCAUAGCCAAGUUUUAGGAGUGAAGAUAAGAUUUUGUUGAACAUGUGAAGAAUUAGUGUUUGGGCCAGUUUACAUAACUAAUGUUGCAUGUCCAAUGUUCAUUCAACACAGGUCAGGAGUAACAAGGCACUGGCUUAUCAUCCUGGUCCCAAUGCUUGGGUCAGCAAGUGGGGUAGUUUUCAGUAUUUACUUUAAGAUCAAAAUACUUACUGAUGAAAAAUCAUGCCAUUCUUUUUGUUUUGAAUUUAUGGCCUUCUAAUAGUUCAUCUAUGGUCAUCGAAACAGCUGUAAACAUUUCUGUGGCACUGAAUUAUGAAUUUGGUAUCAAUAUUCAUACAUUUUUAUCGAUAGAGCACUGACAUUAACCCUUUCGCCCCGACUGCCCGAUUUAUCGGGCAGCAUAAACCGUGUCCCAGGACCCGGCUGCCCGAAAAAUCGGGCGGCUAUUGUCCAAGCCCCAGACACGGCUGCCCGAUAAAUCGGGCGGCGCGACCGUGUUUACAAAAUCGCUCUUUCAACUUCCUUUCUCGUGUGUAAUCUCGUUCUAAAUAUGGAAACAAGAUCUACACGUGAUUGACACGUCAUUCGAUGGAAUUUCCCAGUCUUUUUGGCGCGAAAAUCGCGAAUGUCACCUGUUUUCGCGACAGGUAUUUUUCUCGCUUGAAUCGUAAAUCUAGCGUAAAGGCGGCCAACUACGAUUCGGAUAGCGAUCAGAUGACUAACAACGACUCUAUCGGGAAUAAUAAUGUGUUUGAUUUGAAUAAUUUACGUGAAGGGGAGAGGGAAUUUCGUGAAGAUUUUGGUGAAGAUUUUGACUGUUUCGACGAGAUGUCCCCCCCCCCCCCGCGCCAAGAACGGUGGAGACAUGAGGGAUUUUGAAGAGGCGACCGGACUCAAGAAUAUAUAUUGACACGGUGAGUGAAAUAUCGUGCUAUUGACUUUUUCCAACUGUUUUACAAUGAUUCUGUGUUUGAACAGAUUAUCAGUGCGACGAAUGAGAAUGCAGCCUACAGGUGAACGAGUGAUCACAACAACAACAAAGAUCAAUCUGUGAUAUCUUCUCUGUGAUGUCAUUCUUAUAGUAGCUGUGGUUCAAUGUUCAGAUGUGCAUGAAGAGAAUUUACCUGUAACACCUGGGAUUACCU